rnacentral:rRNA from 1 species
AGAGUUUGAUCAUGGCUCAGGACGAACGCUGGCGGCGUGCUUAACACAUGCAAGUCGAACGAGAUCCAACGCGUGGCAACACUCGGGAAGAUCUAGUGGCGAACGGGUGCGUAACACGUGAGAAACCCACCCCGAACUCUGGGAUAACAGGUGGAAACGCCUGCUAAUACCGGAUACCUCCGCCGAGUCGCAUGGCUUGGCGUAGAAAGGUCCGCCGGUUCGGGACGGUCUCGCGGCCUAUCAGCUUGUUGGUGGGGUAACGGCCUACCAAGGCAUCGACGGGUAGCUGGUCUGAGAGGAUGAUCAGCCACACUGGGACUGAGACACGGCCCAGACUCCUACGGGAGGCAGCAGUGGGGAAUCUUGCCCAAUGGGCGCAAGCCUGAGGCAGCAACGCCGCGUGCGGGAAGAAGGCCCUCGGGUUGUAAACCGCUUUCAGCAGGAACGAAAAUGACGGUACCUGCAGAAGAAGGUGCGGCCAACUACGUGCCAGCAGCCGCGGUA